rnacentral:rRNA from 1 species
GGACUACUGGGGUUUCUAAUCCUGUUUGCUCCCCACGCUUUCGCGUCUCAGCGUCAGUAAUCUUCCAGGUGGCCGCCUUCGCCACAGGUGUUCCUCCCGAUAUCUACGAAUUUCACCUCUACACCGGGAAUUCCGCCACCCCCUCCGAUACUCUAGUUUAGUAGUUUCGACCGCAGUUCCUUGGUUAAGCCAAGGGAUUUCACGAUCGACUUGCUAGACCGCCUACACGCGCUUUACGCCCAGUAAUUCCGAACAACGCUUGCACCCUCUGUAUUACCGCGGCGGCUGGCAC